UGGUUUGGUUUAGACGACCAAAUUCUUAUCUUCUCCCAUCGUCUCUUCCGUCGGCCUGAGCAAUGCCAAGAGGAACCGACCGCCUGAUAAGGAAUGUGAAGAAGUUCGCCAGCGAGCAAUACGAGAACUUUAUAUCUCGUCAUGGCCAGCAACUGAUAGACAUUUUCGAGUUCCCAAUUAAGGUGGUCUUGUCUCCUUUCACUCUUGCCUUGGACAUUGCUGGCUCUGCUCCUCGCGGCUUUGGUGUCCCUGAGCUCAUAUCUAAGCUCUCUUAUCUUUCUGUCUUUGCUGUUGCUACUCUUGGAACCUAUGAUAUUGCUUUGGAGCUUGGGAAGAAGGUGAUAUGUCAAAGGAAUUGUCGGACUUGCAAUGGGUGGCAGGCAUUGCAGUGUAUCAUGUGCAAAGGAUCAGGGAAAGUGCACUACCAAGUGAAAAAUUACACCUUAAGGAGUGGAGAGAAAGCAACAGCUGAAUGUGUUGCAGAUGCUAUUGCUGAGAAUCGAGCAGAGUUGGUGCACCUUCCAUCCACUGUGGAUCUCAAUACUCCUUUGCCGUCCAAAGACUGUCCAACUUGUGAUGGAACAGGUGUAAUGGGCUGUCCUGAAUGCAAAGACAAAUUACAAGUCAGGAUAUCUGCAGAUGAUAUUAUGGAACCUCCAUGGAAAGCCUAUAAUGUCUUGAGAAAGAUGGACUACCCUUAUGAGCACAUAGUAGACAGCAUGAAGGAUCCCAGUAUUGCUACAUUCUGGUUAUUUUCCUUGCCUCAAAUCGUGGGUGGAUUCAACUAUGAUGAUGACGUAAAACAAAAAAUUUGGUGGCAGUACAAGGAAUCUAUGCGAUAUGAUCAACUACGAGAUUUGGUAGCAAAGCGAAAACCGGGCUGGGAGCACUUGCAGGAAGCCUUGAUAUCAAUAGAUCCUGUCCGAGCCAGGGAAGAUCCUGUGAUUGUGAAAAAUAUCCCAUACUACAAUGCCAAAAAGGCACUAGAGGUAGAGGUCAUGAAAUUUGACCCUCCACCGCGACCCCAAAACUGGGGGGAGCUGGACCUUCCACUGAAUGCAUCAUCCUGGAGUGAGGAAGAUCUUAAAAAUCCAGAAAAAUUCUAUGAGAUGACUGUUCUUUUGAACGCACAAAGAGAAAUUGCUGAUAAAAUUUUGGAUGCACAAUGGGAAACUAAAUGGCGCCAGGAAAAGUUGAAUGAGAUUUUAGAGGAGAAGGUGCGGCCAUACGUUCAGAACAUGAAUAAUGGAGUCCUUUCCCAUCCUAUUGUAAUACAAUCACAGAAGGAUAAAAAGGUUGCACCAUUAUUUUGUUUCAAGCACUAGAUGGUUUACCUAUAUUAUGGACUCAAAGCGAGUAAAAAUAGGAAGACUAUUAUCUGGACUGUUACAAUCUAAUAUGAGUCGUCGGCAAAGGAGAUGGUGGUUUUUCUGAAGCUGUUUUAGCCAUUUUUUGUAUCUCAGUGGUGACUCUAGAUGUAUAAUUGGCAGUUCUCCCAAGUCAUUUCUUUCUUCUCUCUCUCUCUCUGUCACUUAUCUAUUUUUAUUUAAUACUUCUGUUGUAGCUUCACAUUAUUGUUGGUCAUAUCUCAUAUGUGGAUAUCUUUAAGACGUACAAUCAAUGUUGCUUCGAUAUAUUGUUUUUCUUUAA